GAGUGCACACCUUGUUGUGUGUCGUCGCGUCGUGGAGGAUGUCGUCGAUUCGUGGGACAAGCGUGGGAGGAUGGUGGAAUUGGGGGAAGGGCCUUGGGAAAUAUUGGUGGAAAAAGAGAUGACAUUUUUGCCAAAGAUAGGAUCGAGCUCGUCAAAGUGGUCCAUCGUCGAGGAAGACGAUCGAUAAGAAGGAAACUUAAGCAAUGGAAGAAUGUUAGAAUCUUUCGUUUUUGUCUAUAGUGAUUCUGAGUAAAGAAGAAGAAGUGAAAACGAAAAAUUUAACAUUUGAGAUCAGUUGCAGGAUUGAGGAUAAUAUUGAAGAUUUAUGAGGCUGAGUUUAUGAUGUGGACUAAAAUCAUCGGCACGAAUCCAUUUAGAUCAAAUAGUAAUUGAAAAUUACAUUAAGAGAAGAGUUGACUCAUAUUGAUGGAAAUCUCAUACGUUGAUUAAGAAGAAGUUCGAUGGAGGGACGUUGCUAGACGAAAACAGGCCAGUGAGAAGGCUACGAAGGAAUCGAGGAUCAACAUGUUGUCGAUUACGAAAGCUCCAAGCUCUCACGUUGACAACCGUCGUCCUACACGUCGUCGACCUCUCUCUCAAUGAGCCUCAUUGUCUGGGAACCAGGCACGCGCCUCUUUUGCAUCUUGUGACAAUUUUUACAUUCGUCCUUCGGCCCAUUGCAUCCAUCGUUUUCGUCUCGAAGGAUCGAUUAUUAAAAAGUCGAGACUCGUUUUUCGAUAAGUCGGAAAAUUUUGGAAAAUUUAUUAAUCUUUGCCAGAAGACUACUCGAAAGGGUUUCACUGUGAUUAUUACAGUAAUCGAUCAAAAUUGAUAGAAGAUGGGAUGGAUGGAAGAUAGAUCGAGACUCACGAAUGAUGGAUGACGGGGGUAGAAUAGAUGUUAUUUUCGAUAGAUUAAGGGAUGCUUGAAAUGGAAGAAGAUAAGAAUCGUCCGUUUAUUUGAUUGCGAAAGAAGUUGCAGAAGCGUUAGGAAGUGACUAUUGAAAAAUAUUGACGAUAAAAAAGAAACUAAUAACAGGAUUUGCAUAUGAAACAUCAAUCGACGAAUUCUACGAAAGUGGAAAAAAAAAAAUGAGUCGAUUCACGCGAAUGAUUCAUCGCUAUCCGUAUGCCUAAUUACGCAAUUAUCUUUGAGAGAGAAUCUGAUCGGUGUUGCUUCCUGCUUCGACUGCCUGUACCUCCCUGAGAAUUUUUAAACACCAUUGUGUCACCGUCGCAUCAGCCUUUAAUUGAAAUCGUGACUCAUAAUUUUGCAAGUUUUUAAUAAACGUUGCAAUGGUCGUGAGAAGCCGACAGGGUUGAAAUUGCACGUUUAAUACUCAUUGUUCGACAGUCGACUUUUCGACUCGUCGUGAUUAAUCUUCCUCCGUUUCUAUUUUUUUUUUCUUUUUCAAGCGGAUGAUGAUUCAGUAUUUUCAAUGGUACGAGAUAAUCGCUACGUCUAGUCGACGUAAAAUUAAUCGUAAAGAUUCUCGUUUCCGAAUUUAUCACAAUUCUUAAUAAUUCUUAAUAACUAAUCAGUCGAUAUUAUUACAUCGUUAUUAACAAUCAAUUCCGAUUCCGUGAUUCACAAUUUUGUAAAUAAUAUGAUAAAAACCGUGGGAAGAAAACGAAUGAUUAGCAUUGAUUCGAGCGAGCAUUCGUCCAAGGUGAUCGCCAUGCACUCGUUUUCAUCGAUCGAAUGAAACGUGCGUCCACAUGAUGCGUGACGCAUCAUCUCGACGGCGAUUAAACCCAUAGAGAUCGGCAAGAAAUCCGAUAAACAACCGCACCCUGCCGAGGAUAGUCUCACGAUGAUUUGAAAAAUGGCUAACAUCUAUCGUUUUAUAGUACCUCAGACCUUGAAUCACUGUCGGCGAAGUUUCGCUAUUCGUGUAUACGUUUUAUUCCACGUAUAAUUGAGCUAACUUGCUUGCGCAACGCAUUGGGAAUUGUAAAAUUGUUAUAAGUUAACUUUUGUUUCCCGCGAGGAAACAAUUUCAUCCAUGCGCAUUCUAAAUUCUAAAUCCUUUUUCGUCGAGCUUUGCCAAAACAUAUUUGUAUUAAUAUAAAUAAGAUCUAUUCUAAGAUCUUCGAUCCUUCCGUCUAAGAGAUGGAAAUUCUAAAAAUAGAUUUUAUUUAAUCUCUUUAAUUGUUCAAAGCAAGCGAUUUACCAUUUAAGUUUCGAAAAAUACAAGAUCACGUAUCCAAUGCGCACGUAACCAAUUACCGGGGUCUUUGCAAGAAAAAUUGAAUUAACGCGAAGAAGGAAUUAACGAAACGCAAAUUCAGGCCUCUCAAUGCCGUACCAGAUGCGGUAACGCAAUAUCGUGGUUUUUACUUUAAAAGCGCGCCUCGUGUUCUCCCAGCACAACUUCGACAAUGCUAAUCCUGUCAAGAGAUAAAAGGUACACCGAUCCCACGCACUGGCCCCAAUUCUGGGUUCAAGUACGCCGCCGUUUACGAGACGCAUCCAUGCGUUUCUUCGACUUUUUUUUUUUGCCCGUAGUUGAUACAUCUUUGAGUAUAUUAUCCUUUUCGCGUUAAAAAAACGUAUAAAGAUAGAAUCCUAUUUUAUUCGCAUAACAGAAGAAAGAUUUUUCAUUCAAGUAAUUGGAAUUUAGAUUCAUAUGUUAUAUCUUGUGAUCUCUAUCUUGAAUAUAUUUUCUAAAGAAUUUUUUAUUCUCAUCUUAUUCUUUUUUUUUUCUAUCACUUUGUAUGUUUCUCUUAUUUCAUUAUUCUUCGUUUGAAAAUCAAAGUUAUGCGAUAUAAAACAGGUCUAUUUGCGAAGCAAAUUAUGCAAAGAGGGAAUCGUAAGAUUUAUUAACUAACGAUUUAAAUAUUUCCACUUUAAAUACAAUAACAAAGUGAUACGUAACGUUUACAUUUACAAAAGAUUGAGCUAACUAAUACAUAAUAUAUACGUUUGUCGAGGAAUGUAACAAAAAAUAAUCUCCAUGAUAUUUCCUCAACAUUUCCUUAACGUUAUCUACCUUACCAUCGAAUCUUCAUCUAAAUUUAUUUUUUACAUUCACCUCUUUCGAUAUACACACGAUUGCAAAUCAUCUUUCACAUCGCACUACGAGCCACAAUACAGAAAACGGCGAUUGUACAGCGUUAGGACAAGGCAACCGAUGAAACGUGGGAAAACGGUGAUACGUGUUACCGGUAUUACGCGAGCACGCUCAAGAAUUAUUCAAAAUGCAACGUUAUGAAGACGGCAAGGCCGAAUCGACUAAAUGAUUGAAUCCUUUUUAUCGAUCACCCCGUCAGUUUGGGUGAAGGUUAACGACGCGUUCGCGGAAAUGGAAAAACGAAGAGAGGAAAAGAAGCUCGUAAUCAGAAUUAAGAUUCAAUGUGAUAGAUUUAAUUGUAAAAAGAAACAUUUUUAAAAUGAUCUUUUUUAUUGCGUUUCAUCUCUGUUCUGAAAUUUGAAUGAAAUAUGCCAUACCUUUGGACGAGUUGUAAUUUGUGAAUACUUUGUUUCAUAGCCGAAACACGACACUGUCGGGACAAUUUAAUAACUUGAACUUCGUUGACGCUUGAAUAAUGAUAUCAAAUAAUGUCUGUGUCUUUUUAUUCUUUAUUACUCUUCUACCUGGUAAAUCGAUGUAAGGAUUAAAUUUAAUAAACAGUAAAAGAUAUUUUUUUCUUUUAAAAGAAUAUAAAACUCUUACUUUUAGUUAAUUUUUCUAUAUAUAUAUAAUAAAGUGGAGAUCUUCGUGUAUCGCGCAAUGCUCCAGUGUGCACGACUUUUUUAUUCUAUGACAAUUUUCACUAUGUUUUCACUACGUAGUCAUUAAACGUGAUUGCACAUUCUCGUUUAUGUCUGUUUCGAAUCGUGAUGAUUAGGCAAUCUUCAAGCUUCUUUUCCCAGUAUAAAAUAAAUACUAUAUGUGUAAAUUUAAAAAAAUAUGAAUCAUGGACAAUAUUAGAAACGCAUAUAAAACG